rnacentral:rRNA from 1 species
AUGGCUCAGGACGACGCUGGCGGCGUGCCUAACACAUGCAAGUCGAGCGAGGAGAUCCUUCGGGAUGAUCCUAGCGGCGGACGGGUGAGUAACACGUGGGCAACCUGCCUCAUAGAGAGGAAUAGCCUUCCGAAAGGGAGAUUAAUACCUCAUAACAUUGCAGUUUCGCAUGGAACAGCAAUUAAAGGAGUAAUCCGCUAUGAGAUGGGCCCGCGGCGCAUUAGCUAGUUGGUGAGGUAACGGCUCACCAAGGCGACGAUGCGUAGCCGACCUGAGAGGGUGAUCGGCCACAUUGGGACUGAGACACGGCCCAGACUCCUACGGGAGGCAGCAGUGGGGAAUAUUGCACAAUGGGGGAAACCCUGAUGCCAGCAACGCCGCGUGAGUGAUGACGGCCUUCGGGUUGUAAAGCUCUGUCUUCAGGGACGAUAAUGACGGUACCUGAGGAGGAAGCCACGGCUAACUACGUGCCAGCCGCGGC